CAAGAAAGCACACAAUUCAGGAUCGGGGGAGAGAGAGAAUCUCAAUCUCUGACAUGGGGCUUGAUCUCACAACCCUGAGAUCAUGACCUGAGCUGAAAUCAAGAGUUGGAUUCGUAACUGACUAAGCCACCCAGGCACCCCAUAGCAAGCUGAAUGAACUGAGAGGAAAAUUGGUACUGAGGAGUGGAUUGCUGCUAUAACAAAUACUUAAACAUGUGGAAGCAGCUACGGAACUGGGUAAUGGAAUUGGAGGCUGGAAGAGCUCUGAGGUGCAUGCUGGAAAAGCUUAGAUUGCCAUGAACAGAAUCUUAAAGGCUCACAUUUGGAGAGGAAUUUGCCUCAGGAUGAAUCAUCCCUCAAGUCUCACCUGUAUCUAAUUUAGAUGAUAGCUAGAGGAGACUUUGGACUUAGACUUUCGAAUUGACACUGGGAUAUGUUAAGACUUUGGUGACUGUUGGGAUGGUAUUCUAUUACAGCAGCCUGAAUAGACUAACAUAGCCACUGUUUUCCCUAUUUUUUUUGUUUAGAAGAACAGUUAUUUUUCAUAAACUGCAUUAUUUAUAUUAACAUGUAAUUAGCUUAUUAGUGUUACUUUUAGUGAA